AUGCCAUGAUCAAGGAACUUUCGUAAUAACUCCUUGAAUCGCUCCCAUGCCUAAUGUAAAGAUUCUUCGUCAAGUUGCUAAAAUGAAGUGAUUUCAUUUCAGAACUU
rfam:Gossypium raimondii chromosome 8, whole genome shotgun sequence.